rnacentral:rRNA from 1 species
GAUGAACGCUGGCGGCGUGCCUAAUACAUGCAAGUCGAGCGAACGGACUAUAAGCUUUCUUCUCUUAUGUUUGCGUCUGACGGGUGAGUAACACGUGUAUAACCUACCUAUUUUUCUUGGAUAACUUCGUGAAACCUUUUCUACUACCGUAUAAUAUUUUCAACCGCUUUGUUCAUAAGUUCUUUACGUUCUUUCUGUCUCUUUUAGAUGUUUCCUCGCUGCAUUAGCUAGUUGGUAAGGUAACGGCUUACCAAGGCAACGAUGCUUAGCCGACCUGAGAGGGUGAUCGGCCACACUGGAACUGAGACACGGUCCAGAGUCCUACGGGAGGCAGCAGUAGGGAAUAUUGCGCAAUGGGCGAAAGCCUGACGGAGCAACGCCGCGUGAGUGAUGAAGGUCUUCGGAUCGUAAAACACUGUUAUUAGGGAAGAAAAUAAGUGGAAGAAAAUGUGGACAUCUUGACGGUACCUAAAAAGAAAGCAACGGCUAACUACGUG